GACGAACGCUGGCGGCGUGCUUAACACAUGCAAGUCGAACGGAAAGGCCCUGCUUUUGUGGGGUGCUCGAGUGGCGAACGGGUGAGUAACACGUGAGUAACCUGCCCUUGACUUUGGGAUAACUUCAGGAAACUGGGGCUAAUACCGGAUAGGAGCUCCUGCUGCAUGGUGGGGGUUGGAAAGUUUCGGCGGUUGGGGAUGGACUCGCGGCUUAUCAGCUUGUUGGUGGGGUAGUGGAUUACCAAGGGUUUGACGGGUAGCCGGCCUGGGGGGGUGACCGGGCACAAUAGGACUGGGGGAAGGGCCAGGAGCCAAACGGAGGCAAGAGGGGGGAAUAUUGCAGAAUGGGGCGGAGGCAGAAGUGAGCACCCCGGGUGCGGGAAGAACGGCUUUGGGGUAGGAACCGGUUUUCGCGUGUACGGAAGCUUAAUGACGGUAAAUGGUAAAGAAGCACCGGCUAACUACGUG
rnacentral:rRNA from 1 species